CUCUUUGGUUCGCUCUAGGGCACAAUCAGAAACCCUAGGGAUUUGGGUGGUGGUGCUGCGAUCGACUCUGAUAGCCGGUUUGCAACGAGAAAGAACAACAUGCGAGAUAGAUUCUUGGUGGAUCAAAGAGUUCGUAAAAUAAGACGAGAUCAGAUCCUAGUAAUUGUAAUAUAUUCUGCAGCGAAAGAUGUAAAAAUCUAUAUGAUUUUUACGUUUUGUUUUGGAUAUUAAUUUUAUCCAAUAGUAGUAUCAGAGUUUG
rnacentral:lncRNA from 1 species